rnacentral:rRNA from 1 species
UACGAAGGGUGCUAGCGUUGUUCGGAAUCACUGGGCGUAAAGCGCGCGUAUGCGGCUCGUCAAGUCAGGGGUGAAAUCCUGAGGCUCAACCUCAGAAUUGCCUCUGAAACUGUCGGGCUAGAGUGUCGGAGGGGAUAGCGGAAUUGCUAAUGUAGAGGUGAAAUUCGUAGAUAUUAGCAGGAACACCGGUGGCGAAGGCGGCUAUCUGGACGACAACUGACGCUGAGGCGCGAAAGCGUGGGGAUCAAACAGG